rnacentral:tRNA from 1 species
ACUUAGAUAGCUUAAAUUUAAAGCGUGACAUUGAAGCUGUUAAUAUGAUAAAUAUUAUCUCUGAGUA